rnacentral:rRNA from 1 species
AACGAACGCUGGCGGCAUGCCUAACACAUGCAUGUCGAGCGAGAUCUUCGGGUCUAGUGGCGCACGGGUGCGUAACGCGUGGGAAUCUGCCCUUUGGUUCGGAAUAACAGUUGGAAACGACUGCUAAUACCGGAUGAUGACGAAAGUCCAAAGAUUUAUCGCCAGAGGAUGAGCCCGCGUAGGAUUAGCUAGUUGGUGUGGUAAGGGCGCACCAAGGCGACGAUCCUUAGCUGGUCUGAGAGGAUGAUCAGCCACACUGGGACUGAGACACGGCCCAGACUCCUACGGGAGGCAGCAGUGGGGAAUAUUGGACAAUGGGCGAAAGCCUGAUCCAGCAAUGCCGCGUGAGUGAUGAAGGCCUUAGGGUUGUAAAGCUCUUUUACCCGGGAUGAUAGUGACAGUACCGGGAGAAUAAGCUCCGGCUAACUCCGUGCCAGCAGCCGCAGUAACAC